GACGAACGCUGGCGGCGUGCCUAAUACAUGCAAGUCGAACGCAGUGGGGACGGGUGAGUAACACGUGGGUAACCUCCCAUCAGAGGGGAUAACACUUGGAAACAGGUGCUAAACCGAUACUGAUGGAUGGACCCGCGGUGCAUUAGCUAGUUGGUGAGGUAACGGCUCAACAAGGCCACGAUGCAUAGGCGACCGUGCAGGGGUAUCGGCCAAACUGGGAAUGAGAAACGGACCAGACUCCUACGGGAGGAACCAGUAGUGAAUCUUGGGCAAUGGACGAAAGGCUGUCCUAGCAACGCCGCGUGAGUGAAGAAGGUUUUUGGUUUGUAAAACUCUGUUGUUAGGGAAGCGGUAUCUAACCAGAAAGCCACGGCUAACUACGUGCCAGCAGCCGCGGUAAUAC
rnacentral:rRNA from 1 species